rnacentral:rRNA from 1 species
CUGCGUACCUUUUGUAUAAUGGGUCAGCGACUUAUAUUCUGUAGCAAGGUUAACCGAAUAGGGGAGCCGGAGGGAAACCGAGUCUUAACCGGGCGUUAAGUUGCAGGGUAUAGACCCGAAACCCGGUGAUCUAGCCAUGGGCAGGUUGAAGGUUGGGUAACACUAACUGGAGGACCGAACCGACUAAUGUUGAAAAAUUAGCGGAUGACCUGUGGCUGGGGGUGAAAGGCCAAUCAAACCGGGAGAUAGCUGGUUCUCCCCGAAAGCUAUUUAGGUAGCGCCUCGUGAAUUCAUCUCCGGGGGUAGAGCACUGUUUCGGCUAGGGGGCCAUCCCGGCUUACCAACCCGAUGCAAACUGCGAAUACCGGAGAAUGUUAUCACGGGAGACACACGGCGGGUGCUAACGUCCGUCGUGAAGAGGGAAACAACCCAGACCGCCAGCUAAGGUCCCAAAGUCAUGGUUAAGUGGGAAACGAUGUGGGAAGGCCCAGACAGCCAGGAUGUUGGCUUAGAAGCAGCCAUCAUUUAAAGAAAGCGUAAUAGCUCACUGGUCGAGUCGGCCUGCGCGGAAGAUGUAACGGGGCUAAACCAUGCACCGAAGCUGCGGCAGCGACACUGUGUGUUGUUGGGUAGGGGAGCGUUCUGUAAGCCUGUGAAGGUGUGUCGUGAGGCAUGCUGGAGGUAUCAGAAGUGCGAAUGCUGACAUAAGUAACGAUAAAGCGGGUGAAAAGCCCGCUCGCCGGAAGACCAAGGGUUCCUGUCCAACGUUAAUCGGGGCAGGGUGAGUCGACCCCUAAGGCGAGGCCGAAAGGCGUAGUCGAUGGGAAACGGGUUAAUAUUCCCGUACUUGGUGUUACUGCGAAGGGGGGACGGAGAAGGCUAUGUUGGCCGGG